GCGGGCGUAGUUUAGUCGGUUAGAACGCCAGAUUGUGACUCUGGAGGUCGUGGGUUCGAGUCCCAUCGUCCGCCCCA
rnacentral:tRNA from 1 species